rnacentral:rRNA from 1 species
GAGCAACGCCGCGUGAGGGAGGAAGGCUCUUGGGUUGUAAACCUCUUUUGUCAGGGAAGAAGCUCUGACGGUACCUGACGAAUCAGCAUCGGCUAACUCCGUGCCAGCAGCCGCGGUAAUACGGAGGAUGCAAGCGUUAUCCGGAUUUAUUGGGCGUAAAGCGUCCGCAGGUGGUUGAGCAAGUCUGCCGUCAAAGCGUGGAGCUUAACUCCAUAUCGGCGGUGGAAACUGCUGGACUAGAGUGUGGCAGGGGUAGCGGGAAUUCCCAGUGUAGCGGUGAAAUGCGUAGAUAUUGGGAAGAACACCGGCGGCGAAAGCGCGCUACUGGGCCAAUACUGACACUGAGGGACGAAAGCCAGGGGAGCGAAAGGGAUUAGAUACCCCUGUAGUCCUGGCUGUAAACGAUGGGUACUAGGUGUUGCGCGUAUCGACCCGUGCAGUGCCGUAGCUAACGCGUUAAGUACCCCGCCUGGGGAGUACGCACGCAAGUGUGAAACUCAAAGGAAUUGACGGGGGCCCGCACAAGCGGUGGAGUAUGUGGUUUAAUUCGAUGCAACGCGAAGAACCUUACCAGGGCUUGACAUGUCGCGAAUCUUCCUGAAAGGGGAGAGUGCCUUCGGGAGCGCGAACACAGGUGGUGCAUGGCUGUCGUCAGCUCGUGUCGUGAGAUGUUGGGUUAAGUCCCGCAACGAGCGCAACCCUCGUUUCUAGUUGCCAUCAUUAAGUUGGGCACUCUGGAGAGACUGCCGGUGACAAACCGGAGGAAGGUGGGGAUGACGUCAAGUCAGCAUGCCCCUUACGUCCUGGGCUACACACGUACUACAAUGCUACGGACAGAGAGUUGCGAGCUCGCGAGAGUCAGCUAAUCUCGUAAACCGUGGCUCAGUUCAGAUUGCAGGCUGCAACUCGCCUGCAUGAAGGCGGAAUCGCUAGUAAUCGCAGGUCAGCAUACUGCGGUGAAUACGUUCCCGGGCCUUGUACACACCGCCCGUCACACCAUGGGAGUUGGCCACGCCCGAAGUCGUUACUCUAACCGUUCGCGGGGGAGGGCGCCGAAGGCAGGGCUGAUGACUGGGGUGAAGUCGUAACAAGGUAGCCGUACCGGAAGGUG